UGACAGCUGGCCAGACUCUGUACAAGGUGAUACCUGUGACAUUUCUCCCUCUGUUUUGUUCUCCUGUGUUUCUUCCUCAGAUAAGACUUGUGUGUGUGUGUGCAUGUGUGUAUUUUGACUCGUCGAGAUAGUCAAUCGCCUAGUGAUCGACUGGAUUACCCAGGCACUAUCUUAACAUCAAUAGAAAUAUAAUCCAUGCAAGUCUCGAUCUGAGUUUAUUGACUCCGCACGAUCUUUAAAGCCGAU
rnacentral:lncRNA from 1 species